ACCUUCUUUUUCUCAGACAACUAAUGCUGGAAACCUUUGGAAAGCAAUUAAUGAGUCAUCUUGGAUACUGCAUAAAUCGUUGACAAUCAGCUUGAGCAAAUCAAGAACAAUACAUGGAAUGAUAGACAGAGGUCCCCAUGGCUGCCAGCUAACCUGAAGGCUUGCCCUUUUUUUGCUGCAAAAAAUUUGAGGAAGGAUCUCGUAGCCUUCUGACAAGUGAACCGAGAGAUGCAGAGGCUCACGUAUCUGGCUGCCAGGCUCUUCCUCAGGCUCCCUCCCUUUGGUCACCUGGCUCUGCAGAUGAAGUUCUGUGCUCUGGAAUGGAGAAGAUGUAGUACCAUUGUGUACAGCACUUCAACAACCAUUUAUGCUGGCAUGCUUGUAACAGAUUGGAAGACUGCUUGCUGGUAGAGGCUGAGGAGAAGGAAUAACAUUUUUUAUAUUUGCACCUGUAGUUUACUGAACACUGGGGGCCCAGGCCUAGACUUGGUCUUCUAUGUAACAGCACUGGCUCACAGUGAGACUGAGUGUGUUGGACCAAGUGCUAAAUCUUGGUUCAAUAAAUUGCAAGACAUUUUGUUAGAUUAAGCACAAUAAGUGACAGAUCUAUUUAUUGAAACUCAAGUGAAGAAAUUGAUCAAAAAAUCUGUAGCCUCCAAUGAGAGGUGAAUAAAGAUAAUUAUAAUAUCAAAGUCUGCCAGAACCAGAGAAGUUGGUGGCUGAGACACACAAAACCCUGGUCCUUUAUACAAUUAAUGACUGUCAAAGAAAUGAAAAUUCAUCUUUUAGCAAAAGUUGUGUUUAUCCAAACAUGAGGGUCCACUUGAUAUGCUAUUCUAGCAGCAUGAAUAGGAAACUACUGACUGUGGAUCUAUGGCCUGACAGACUGGGAUGGUUUUAGAAGACCCUGACUACACAGCUGUUUGUGCUUUUCAUAUCCAGUCUCUAUUGUCUCCCUUUCAUUGUGGCUGAAAAUAUCAAUAUAGACAAAUAGAAAACUAGAUUAAUCAUUUGAUAUUUAGGCAAUCUAUGGAGCCCUAAAGAACUUUAUAUCUUGUAAAAAUUGCCAAAGAAAAGUGGGGACUGUCACUUUAGAAAAAAUCUCUUAAGUCUUAGGCCUGUCUCUAAAAUGGCUAUUUAAUGCAAUUUUUUCUCUUCUGCUCAUAAGCCAAUUACAGCAGUACUAGUUAUUUCUUGUUAAUCCUUUUUACAGACAUAUCUAAAUGCUGUCAGAGCCCAAAGUGGAUGAGGCCAAAGAGGUCUUCACUGUAAGAGGAAUGACAGGUUAUGUGAAUUGUUAUUCAUCAGGCAGUAAGGCAGCACAGCUCAGUUUAUGCAGCAACGCACAGCACCUCCUUUUUCCUCUGCCUCUGCUCCUUGGUUUUCUGCUGAAUUCAGUCAAGGAGCUGCCAGAUGCCACCAGGUGAGUGCCAGGAGCUGCAAGGAGGAAGGGAAGGAUUCAGUGAACUGGCAGUUUGGAGGGUAUAAGCUUCCUGUUGCAGGUGUGGAAUUAGAUUAAGUGCUUAUGUAUCUGUAUGUAUUCUUGGGCUCUUAGAUAUGAAGUGGCACUCUAACAUGGUAAAAACAUUUUCUGUUCUCCUGUGUUGAUAAUGAAGUUGUGAAUU